GACGUAGGGCGCGAGCGUUGUCCGGAUUUAUUGGGCGUAAAGAGCUCGUAGGCGGCUUGUCGCGUCGUCCGUGAAAACUCACAGCUCAACUGUGAGCUUGCAGUCGAUACGGGCAGGCUUGAGUUCGGUAGGGGAGACUGGAAUUCCUGGUGUAGCGGUGAAAUGCGCAGAUAUCAGGAGGAACACCGGUGGCGAAAGCAGCUCUCUGGGACGGUACUGACGCUGAGACGCGAAAGCGUGGGGAGCGAACAGG
rnacentral:rRNA from 1 species